AAUGACCAAACGUUUUUACAGCUAUAGUACAGGACAGCUUCAGGCUCAGUCAUGCCAGCAAAAGUUCCCAUUAAAAAAUCCCCUGCUCCACCAAAAGCUGCACAAAGUAAGGCUCCAGAAGUAACAAUGCCUGUUGCUCCAGCUGUGGAAACUAGUGGUGCAGUUCCAGAGGUUCCUGCACCAGUUGCUGAGACCCCUGUUUCAGUACCAGAGACCUCUGUUCCAGUUCCAGAGACCCCUGCUACUGAUACCCCUGUUCCAGAAACCACUGUUCCAGAUACUCCUGAAACAAAACCAACAGAAGAAAAAGCUCCUGAGCCGGUGAUUCCUGAGGUUCCAAAGGAUGAACCCCCCAGCAAGCCUGAAAACCUGUCAGUAGACGGCGUUGAGGCUACCUCCUUAUCACUGCGAUGGAAGAGCCCUGAGAAAGAAGGCACUAAUGCCAUAGAUGGAUACCUGAUUCAGUACAAAAAGGAAGGCAGUGAAGAAUGGAUAUCUGUGAACAUGGAGCCUAGCAUUUCUACUCACUACAAGAUUACAAAUCUGAAUACUGGUGAUAAAAUUUCUGCUCGUGUUAUAGCCGUUAGCAAAGCUGGACCUAGUGAACCUACCAGCCUGGAACAUUUGGUUCAGAUUCGUGAAAUAGUCGAACGCCCAAAAAUUCGUCUCCCAAGAUAUUUACGUCAGACAUUCGUGAAACAAGUUGGAGAGGCUGUGAAUUUGGUAAUUCCAUUCCAGGGGAAGCCAAAGCCUCAAAUUCAGUGGUCUAAAAAUGGGCAACCUCUGGAUCCUAAGCAUGCCAGUGUUAGGAAUGGUGAAAGCGACACAAUCCUUUUUAUUCGUACAGCUGAGCGGAAAGAUUCUGGAACAUACCAACUCACAGUGCAAAUAGAUGACAUAGAAGACAAAGCAAAUAUUGAGAUAAAAAUUGCAGAACGACCUGGACCUCCCAAAAGUAUUAAAUUGGCGGACUCAUGGGGUUUUAAUGCAGCUAUUGAGUGGAUUCCACCACUGGAUGACGGUAACUCAGACAUUACUGGUUAUACGGUGCAGAAAUCAGAUAAGAAAACUGGGGAAUGGUUUAAUGUCCUUGAGAAUUAUCGCCAAACUAAUUGCACUGUUUCAGACUUAAUAAUUGGAAAUUCCUACUACUUCAGAGUGUUCUCUGAAAAUGUUUGUGGACUUAGCGAGAAAGCAGCAGUAACUAAAGACUGUGCUGUCAUUAAGAAAUCAGAAAAUACAUACAAAAAUGAGGAAUAUAAGGAAUGUAAUUUUGCAGAGGCUCCAAAGUUUACACAAGCACUUUCUGAUCGGACAACAACCAAUGGAUACACUACUAAACUGUUUUGCAGUGUACGUGGCACUCCAAAGCCUAAAAUAGUAUGGAUGAAAAAUCAAAUGGAAAUCAGAGAAGACCCAAAAUUUAGAUACCUUGUAAAUGAAGGAGUUUGUUCCCUUGAAAUCCGUAAGCCCGGUCCUUUUGAUGGUGGUGUGUAUACCUGCAAAGCCGUCAAUUCUCUGGGGGAAGCAACUGUAGAUUGCAAACUUAAUGUUAAAGUGCCACAAUAAAGGUGAACAAGCACAAAUCUAUGCAAGAGCUUAUACAGUUACCUCUUAUUGGUUGGAAGUCACUAUGUGCAUUCUCUCACAUCUCACAGUCUUUAAGUGUAUUUUGUUAGCCAUUUUAGUUACAUAAUAAAAAUGCCAUGUUGUAUAUCUCGGUGUGUAACAAUGUUAAUAACAUUGUAGAUAUGUAGCUUUAUGUGGUUGGCUAAUAAAAUGUAUUUGGCAAAGUAA